GCCAGCAGCAUACCACCCUGCAUCCCACUGCUAGCUUGCCUCUGAAGCUAAGCAGGGUUGGUCCUGGUCGGUCCCUGGAUGGUGGAAGUCCUGAUAGGACCAGAUGCUGCUGGAA
rnacentral:rRNA from 1 species